rnacentral:rRNA from 1 species
CUCGUAGGCGGUUCAGUAAGUCGGGUGUGAAAGCUCCGAGCUCAACUCGGAGACGCCACUCGAUACUGCCGUGACUAGAAUCCAGUAGGGGAGUGUGGAACUCCUGGUGUAGCGGUGAAAUGCGCAGACAUCAGGAAGAACACCAGCGGCGAAGGCGGCACUCUGGGCUGGUAUUGACGCUGAGGAGCGAAAGUGUGGUAGCAAACA